UUUUUUUUUUUUUUUUUGAGAUGGGCUCACACUGUGGCUCAGACUGGCCUCUAACUCAGAGACACUCCUGUGUUCUGGGCUUACAGACAUACGCUACCACAGGCAGGCAGACUUCAACCAGAAACAUUCCUUUUUGGCACACUCAGCCCCUAGGGAGUAUUACUACUCUUUGAGCGGUGUUGCCUUUGGUACCUUGCCUUACUGUGCUCUGCCUACCCUGGCCCUGUGAGCUGCCCCAUGUGCCUGCUUCCUGAGGCUGGGAGAGCCCCUGAGGUGAAAGGUGUAUUGUUCUUGUAUGCACAGGCUUAGGGUUAGGCUGGCAUGGUGCAGUUUUCCUACACUUGCUGGGCUGGCCUGGCACAGGAGGGCAUGGAGGAGGGUGCUAGCACACCAGGCUGGGAGGAUGGCAGCUCCUGCCCUGGGACUCACCCUCUUAUUUGACACUCUUACAGUGUCUGGGACCCAUCCCAUAUUCAAAAGUAAAAGCAAGGUGUUUGUGAUCAGCUGUGGGUUCUGGGGUUUCCUCCCUGCAUGACCCUCACACCAUGGAUGUCACAUCAAUCCUGGAUGUCCUCGAACUCAUUCUGUAGACCAGACUGGCCUCAGAUUCAAAGAGAUCCUCCUGUCCCUGUCUCUCAAGCACUGGGAUUAAAGGCAUGUACCUUCAUGCCUGGCUCUCUGGUUUCUUAAGUGUGAGUAGCUAACAGGCAAGGGAACUUAACUUGGGUACCUUAAGAGUGAUUGGGCAGCCUGGACCCCAAGAUUCAUGUUAGCUGUUCAUGCCACCACUGGGUGGCAGUCACAGCUGGGCCUGGCUGCCAUCCUUUCUGUAGAGCUCCCCUUAGGUGGAGGAAGAGCCAUUAGUGAGGGUUGCUCUGCAGCAGGUGGUGGCUAGCCCUGCCUAGAACAGGGGGAUGUGCUUGGUCUGCCCGCUGCCCUGAAGAUGCAGUGGUGUGGGGCCUGGAGUCUCCUGGGUGACAGCCCUGCCCCCAUGCAUCUCAGCAGGAAGAUGAAGGUGGUGGAGGCUCUGAUUGCGCUGCUGCAGGACUUUCCUUACGAUGAUCCCACUUAUGAGAAGCUCCAUGAAGACCUGGACAGAAUCAGAGGGAAGUUCAGGCAGGUUUGUGUCUUUAGCCUCUGUCUAUGGGGUGUGCCUGAGGGGGCUUUGAAGGCCAGGUUGGCGUGGGCCCUAGGGUUCAUGUGAUGGUUGUGUUGGGCAAUGUGUGUCCAGAUAUAGACCCAGAGGAACUUGUUUCCUUGGCCCUUGUAGAAUGACUGAAAGUGGGUUGGGGACAUUAAGGCGACAUAGCCUUUGGGCUUGUGCUGGGAUAGGGAAAGCUGAGCAGAAGUGCAGGAGGUGUAAGGCAUGGGCUCUUGGGUACUUUCAGCUGUGCUCACUGCUCAACGUGCAGCCAGACUUCAAGGUGACUCCAGGAGGCUCUGGACUUGCGUUUUGAGGACCCACAGAAGAGCAGAUGUCUGCACAUUAAGUGUCACAGUGAUUAAAGGCAAGCCUGAGAGGAAUCCAUUGUUCUGUGGGAGGACCAGCUUGGCCUCUUCCCUGAGUCUCUGCCUAGGUGGCUUACCUGACCACCCUGCCUUCUGCACAGGGGCAACACACUCAAAAGACCGCUUGUCACUGGCCAGAGUGAGUGGCCCUGGGUAGGGUUACCCUGAGGGUGGGACUCACAGAGGCAGGCCGAUGUGAAAUGGGUCAUGGGAAGCCGUGAUAAGAUCUUUGCUGCCUGCUGAGCCUCUGCUGGCCAUGCUUGGGCCUCCUUGUUUCACUCCAUCCCUCUGGCAGCCCCAGAGGUGGAGGAUACCUUAUGGCUUAGAAGUGAUAAAAUAGACCCAUCUAGUCUAAGGGCCUGGUGGCAGAGCUGGCCCCCACCCCAGGUCCAUGCCCUGAAGUACCACAUAGUGCCUCUGCCUCCAACAUGCGCUGUCAUUGCCAACACCACUGGAGGACCUGAUUCCUGCUAUCUGCACAGGACUCAGGCUCCACUGGACUUGGUUUGCCUCUGGAUGCCCAGCUGAGAAAACAAGGGUGACGAGACAAGGGAGGAAGCUGAAGCAGGGCCUUCAUGCUGCUCCUAACAGGUGUGGGGUGAGCUCUAUACAUUAAGGAGUGGCAAUGGAGCUGGGUGCUGGUGGUGCACGCCUUUAAUCCCAGUGCUCAAGAGAUAGUAGGCAGAUCUCUCAGUUUGAGGUCAGCCUAGUCUACAAAGUGAAUUCAAAACCAAACAAACAAAAAGUGGCAUUAGGGGAACUAUUGGAAACCAAAGCAGGACUAAUUGGUGGCCGCCACUGUGAAUGUGUAGGGCUUGCCUGGUGACACUGUACUUCCUUUAGCAACAGCUUGUGUGUCUGGCAUGGUAUUUACAGGCAGAUAUAAGACGAGCUGGCAGGAGUGGCACAGUGCUCUCAGGCAUUUCAUAGAGAGAAUAUCUUUGUGUUGUAUGGAUGCCUCACCUGUGGCAAAAAGCCUAUGGCCUAUGGCUUAGGCAGGAAAUAGGCGGAACAUCUGGGAGAGAGAAAGCAUUCUGGGAUAGAGCCAGGUGGGAGAUCUACCAGGGAGGAUGUGAGGAGAUGGACACAUGGUACCUGAGCACAGGUAACCAGCCAGCUGGCAGAAUGCAGGUUAAAAUAAAUGGGUUAUCUUCAGUUAUAAUCUAGUCAGAAUAGAGCCUAGCUGUAUGUCCGAAGGAUUUGUAAAUAUGUUUUGAGUCUGAGGCUUGGGGCACCAUGCACCUGGCCUCCUGGGCCUGGCGGCUACCUCUCAGGUAUUCAGCACCACUCUCUCAGGUGCCCAGGAUCAGGGACUCUUCGGUGUGAGAACUGAGCUGCUGUUAUCACCAUAUUUUACUUUCCUAUUAUAUUCAGAAAAAAGAAUAAAUGGUGUAUUUUAAAGCAGUAGUCUGUCUGGGAUCAUUUCUACUGACAGCUGCAGCAGUCCUUCAGUGCCAAGAUGGUGCAUGUCAAGAUGUAGGUUCACAGAUAUGGGCCUACUGUGCCUGUCACAUUCACUACAGGUAUCAAUCAGUUGCUAGUUCCUCUCUUGUCUCUUCCCCUCUCUUCUCCCUUCAUCUCUACCUCCUAUCCCCUCACCUUGUGUACAUCAGGUGUCAGAUCUCCCACCCAUCAGCAUCACCACAGCCGCUUGCCUGAUAACUUUCCAUGUUCCUGUACAAGCCUUGACCUCUGCCCACUUGACCCUUUCUCAAAGUCCCCAUCAAGUCCCCAGAAUGCUUUGGUUACCCCAAAAGGCCUUCUGGAUCACAGUUUAGACAGACUACAGGACCAUUCUGCCACGUGGGCAUGCCGCCUCCUCCCACCACUGAGUCACACCUGCUGUGAAAGGGGAGGGCAUAGGUUGUCAGAAGAAUGCUCUGCUUUUGGAUGCUGUCCCAUGAAGGUGUUACUUGGACUGCCAUAGACAACUGUGGGAGCUGUGGCCAAGCUGUCGCUGAAGGUGGCAGUCAGGUACCAGUGGAACCUGUGUCCUUGAUAAUCACUGAGCUGCUGGUCAAUCCCCUGCCUUCUCAGACCAUGUCCUGUGAGCUAUGUGUCCCCACUACCGGUCUGUUUUCUAUCACUCAUCCCACCCUGUUCUGGCUUCCUGUGACUCUAGCUUAGAUGUCAUCCCUUAUGAGCAAUCACUUGUCACAUGCUGGAGGUCUGAGGCAGAGGUUUCUGGGCUGGCUUUCCCCAAGUCUUUCUGCUCAGCUUGCUGCCUGCUUGAUAGUCACCUUGAGACAAUUUAGAAUCACCUCGUAGAUACCUCUGGGUGUGCCUGGGAGGGUCUUCUCAGGGAGGUUUAACUGAGAAGGGAAGACCCACCUUGAAUGCGCUGUGUCCCAUGAAGUGGGGUCCUGGACUGAUAAGAAAGGAGAAAGUGAGCUGAGCAACAGUGUUCACCGGCCGUGGAUGCGAUAUGAGCAUCUGCCUCAGGCUCCUUCUGUCAUGCCUCCCACCAUAAUGAUUGCCACCUAUAAACUGGACAGAAUAAACUCCUUUAUCCC
rnacentral:lncRNA from 1 species